rnacentral:rRNA from 1 species
CAUGAAGCUGGAAUCGCUAGUAAUCGCGGAUCAGAAUGCCGCGGUGAAUACGUUCCCGGGUCUUGUACACACCGCCCGUCACACCAUGGGAGUCGGAAAUGCCCGAAGCCGGUGACUCAACCUUUAAGGAGAGAGCCGUCGAAGGCAGGUCUGAUAACCGGGGUGAAGUCGUAACAAGGUAGC